GGUUUCUCUAAAUCCAAUUGAUACUUCAUAAGCUCAACUACUUAUUUUAGGUCUAAUCUCUUUGUUGUGUAAUCCCAUAGGUUCAAUUCUAUCUGAUAGUGAGAUAUACAAUAAUUCUAUUAUUGUAUCAUUGAAACUCUUUUUAAUGGGUCGGAAUAAUUUCACUCUAACUCAGCAAAGAUUGUUGAUCCAGAAUGAUUCUAGUGAGCUUUCACAAUCUACCAGUGAUACCUAGC
rnacentral:lncRNA from 1 species